rnacentral:misc_RNA from 1 species
GGAAGGAUCAUUAGCAACAUUUUGGCAUCCACCCGUGUCUUUCGAAGGAGGACACGUGGGCGACCAUUGGAGUGUUCAAGUCCACCGGUGGUCUCUGGUGGCAACUUUUUGGCAACUUUUUUGGUAGGCCUUGCAGGCCUGAUCCGCGUUGGGUGAAACCUUUUCCUUUUCUCUUUCCUUUGAGCCGGAGACGUUGAGAGUGAGUCCCGAUCCGUUUAGGCUGCAUGUAGCUGGAAUGGCGAGGGGCGUCCUGUUGAAGCACUUCGAAGGCAUUCGAUGCUUCAACGUAUACAUGGGACGCCGUGCUGCUAGCGCCGCUCACUCUGAUCGACUCUGGCAAAAAAAGGGGGAGAAAGGAAAGGGGAUCUUGAGCGAUAGGCAAUUUGGGAACAACUUUUAACAACGGAUAUCUCGGUUCUCACAACGAUGAAGAGCGUGGCAAACUGCGAUAAGUAAUGUGAAUUGCAGGAUUCUGUGAAUCAUCAAACUCUUGAACGCAAAUUGCGCCCGUGCUUGCACGGGUACGUCUGUUUGAGUGUCGGCUCGCAAUUCUCUCAAGAGCUUUGAGGGGAGUUGGGACUCCAGAGGGCUUGCUGGUGUCUCUAAAGGGUUGUUCGUUUAGGGUUUUGGGGUGGUGACGCUUGCGUUUCCGGCCUCUUGGCCUCUGGUCUGGGCAGUGGGUCUGCACUCUCCGGGGUCUUCGAGGUCUUUUGUCUUUGGGUCGUGUUGGGUAGGAACGUCCAAGAGUGCCACUGACGUGGGCUUUAGGGAAAGGGCUGCUCGAGGUUGCGACCUCGAUUUUUCGACCUCAAAUCAGACGGGGCUACCCGCUGAAUUUAAGCAUAUCAAUAAGCGGAGGAAAAGAAACUAACUAGGAUUCCCCCAGUAACGGCGAGUGAAAAGGGAAGAGCUCAGGCUUGGAAUCUCCCGGCUACGUCGGGCGAAUUGUAGUAUUGCGAGUGUCCUUCGUGGGGGUGGCCUCGACUCAAGUCCCCUGGAAAGGGGCACCCGAGAAGGUGAGAGUCCUGUACGGUUGAGGUGCGCACGCCCCCCGGUCCGGUCACUUCGUAGAGUCGGGUUGCUUGGGAGUGCAGCCCAAAACGGGUGGUAAAUUUCAUCUAAGGCUAAAUAUUGGUGAGAGACCGAUAGCGAACAAGUACCGUGAGGGAAAGGUGCAAAGGACUCCGAAAGGAGAGUCAAAAGUGCUUGAAAUUGUUAGAAGGGAAGCGAUUGGAACCAGUGGCUGCCCCGUGUCUAAUCAGCUAAGGAUUCGGUGCGGGUACGUGGUCUUGUGAGGUGCCCCUUGGCGGUGCCCAACGGGGUCAAUGCCGGCGCCGGGUAAUUGGUGCACUUGGGCACGGAGCGUGUCAACAUCGGUUGGUGACGGGUAGAAUGGUUGGGGUCAGGUGACGGAGUGCCUCCUAGAGUGCACUGCGUGUUACAGACCCCUUCAGAUGCCCCGUCUCACCGACCGAGGAUCAGAGCGGGGGCCUUUUUGGCGGGGUACCCAGCUUCCCGUCCGACGUCAACCUUGGGGACAGCGUGCUGUGCUUGGGGUUGGGGUUGGUCAUGGAGGUUGGGCCACUUCCGGCUCGGGGAUGUUGGCGAAAUGGUCUCAAACGACCCGUCUUGAAACACGGACCAAGGAGUCUAACAUGCGUGCGAGCACCUGGGUGGUAAACCCGGUUGCGUAAUGAAAGUGAAUGGGUGGGAGCAGCGAUGUGCACCAUCAACCGGUCUUGAUAUAUUUGGAUGGAUCCGAGUCGUAGCGCGCCUGUCGGGACCCGAAAGAUAGCGAACUAUGCGCGCAUAGGGUGAAGCCAGGCGAAAGCCUGGUGGAGGCUCGUAGCGGUACUGACGUGCAAAUCGUUCGUCAAAUGUGCGUAUAGCGGCGAAAGACUAAUCGAGCUGUCUAGUAGCUGGUUCCCUC